CACGUAGGGGGCGAGCGUUGUCCGGAUUUAUUGGGCGUAAAGAGCUCGUAGGCGGCUCGGUAAGUCGGGUGUGAAACCUCCAGGCUCAACCUGGAGACGCCACCUGAUACUGCUGUGGCUAGAGUCCGGUAGGGGAGUGUGGAACUCCUGGUGUAGCGGUGAAAUGCGCAGAUAUCAGGAGGAACACCAGCGGCGAAGGCGGCGCUCUGGGCCGGAACUGACGCUGAGGAGCGAAAGUGUGGGUAGCAAACAGG
rnacentral:rRNA from 1 species